UACGUAGGGGGCUAGCGUUGUCCGGAAUCAUUGGGCGUAAAGAGCGCGUAGGCGGCCAGAUAAGUCCGGUGUGAAAGUCAAAGGCUCAACCUUUGAAUGCCGCUGGAAACUGUCUGGCUAGAGUCCGGGAGGGGCGAGUGGAAUUCCUGGUGUAGCGGUGAAAUGCGCAGAUAUCAGGAGGGACACCAAUGGCGAAGGCAGCUCGCUGGAACGGUACUGACGCUGAGGCGCGAAAGCGUGGGGAGCGAACAGG
rnacentral:rRNA from 1 species